UGAUAUCAGUCCUUUAAACUUAGCUUGUCGCAAAGGCAUGUGUGGCUGCCUAUUGUGUAAUGUUAAAUGCUGUUCCCAGGUGACUAAUCAUGUCAAGGACAUGUGCAUGUAUGCUUAGUCCUUGCCUGGUCUCUUUUGUGACAUUAGUUUUUUGUUUGUUUGUUUUUUGUUGGUGGUGGUGGUGUUUGUUUUGUUUUGUUUUUAAUCUACACUACAGAGCAGUUGAUUGGUCUUUGUGAUGGUUUAUAUAUGCUUGGCCCAGAGAGUGGCACUAUUAGAAGGUGUAGCCCUGUUGGAGUAGGUGUGGCUUUGUUGGAGUAGGUGUGUCACUAUGGGUGUGGGCUUUAAGAUCCUCAUCCUAGCUGCCUGGAAGUCAGUAUUCUGCUAGCAGCCUUCAGAUGAAGAUGUAGAACUCUCAGCUCCUCCUGCACCAUGCCUGCCUGGACACUGCCAUGUUCCUGCCGUGAUGAUAAUGGACUGAACUUCUGAACCUAUAAGCCAACCCCAACUAAAUGUUGUCCUGUAUAAGAGUUGCCUUGGUCAUGGUGUUUGAUCACACUUAGUAAAACCCUAAGUCAGUCUUAGUAUAUGUUUCCUCGUUGAACCCUGUUAACAUUUUGUAGUAAGUAAUUGACAGUGUAUGUGUCCUGUCUCCUAUUGUAUUAUAGGCUUUUAUUCUGUAUCUCAGACCAACACUACAAUGCUGUGUGGCUUUGAAUGCCACACUCACUGUCUUAGUCAGGGCUUCUAUUCCUGCACAAAAAAUAUGACCAAGAAGCAAGUUGGGGAGGAAAGGGUUUAUUCAGCUUACACAUUCAAAUUGCUGGUUAUCACCAAAGGAAGUCAGGACUGGAACUCAAGUAGGUCAGGGAGCAGGAGCCGAUGCAGAGGCCACGGAGGAAUGUUACUUACUGGCUUGCUACCCCUGGCUUGCUCAGCUUGCUUUCUUAUAGAACCCAAGACUACCAGCCCAGGGAUGGCACCACCUUCCUUGAUCACUAAUUGAGAAAAUGCCCCACAGCUGGAUCUCAUGGAAGUAUUUCCCCAACUGAAGCGCCUUUCUCUGUGAUAAUUCCAGCCUGUGUCAAGUUGGCACACAAAACCAGUCAGUACACUCACCUACAUGGACAUUUACAUAUUUUCCAGUUUUGUUCUUUCUUUAUAUUUAUUUUACAAUUGCAUUGUCAACUUAAUAAACAAGCUUAAUAAAACGAUGCUGAGAUCUGUUUCAAUGACGUUGAUCUGUAAGUAACUAACACCUUAGUGUUAUCGACUCUCCUGCUCCAUAGACUCACCUCUUUAUCAAAGGCUUCCCACUUAAAUGUCCCACUCCCGGCUAAGCAAAGUCGUGCACUCUUUCCUUUAAUCAACCCUAUGUGUUCUCUGCCUUUUGAUGCUACUACGAAAGGAACUGAAGACUUUCUUGGUUAGAAGUGCAAUUUAGUUGUACGAAUUGUUUCUGAAUUCAGCGGCCUUGCUAAGUUCACUCCUUGGUGGUAAAUACUUCCUUUUCAGUAUGAAUUUUUUUUAACCAAAGAAAUCAUGCCACAUACAAGCAAAACUGUAUUGAUUUCUUUGCGACACUAUGUCCUGUGUUUCUUGUUCAUGGUGAGCCUACUACACUGGCUGUGGUGGUGGGUGUGACGCUGAGUGGCUGUGAUGAUCGGAGUCCUUGCGUCUGACCUCAGCAUCUGUACCUGCCCUUCACAGAGCUGAAAUAUUUACGUGCCCUGUAGUUAUUUUUUAUUAUGAUAAGUGGGCAAUAAGCUCAGUCAAUCGUCCUCGUUCCUGUUCAACCAUACUUAACAUUUCUGGUUCUCCUCAAUAUGUCAUAUUUAUAUGUUUCUUCUGAUUUGUUUUCUUUAUCCUGUUUGUAAUUCUGGAAGAUAGAUUAGUAUAAUUAUAGAAGUUCUAUCAUGUUUUUUGUUUGACUAUAGCCUCAUAGCAUUCAUCUAUUUCCUAAAAGAAUUGAUGUUGAUGCAAGAUUAGAAUAAUUUCUGAAAGCAUAUGAAGGACUCCUGCAGUCACAUGACCUAGACUUUCAGUAAAGACAAACUUCUGGAUUUUGUGAUUGGUUCAGUAUUUCUUUGCUUUUGAGUUGGAGAAAUUGUUGAUGCGAACUUGUUCACAAUCCCUUAUUAUCUUGUUACUGUGUAUAGAAUCUGGCAUAUUGCUCCACC
rnacentral:lncRNA from 1 species